rnacentral:tRNA from 1 species
GUUCCAUUAGCUCAGUUGGGAGAGCACUCGACUUUUAAUCGAGGGGUCAUGGGUUCAAGUCUCAUAUGGAGCA